rnacentral:siRNA from 1 species
CGGAGACGUCGGCGGGGG